rnacentral:rRNA from 1 species
GAUGAACGCUGGCGGCGUGCCUAAUACAUGCAAGUCGAGCGAACGGACGAGAAGCUUGCUUCUCUGAUGUUAGCGGCGGACGGGUGAGUAACACGUGGAUAACCUACCUAUAAGACUGGGAUAACUUCGGGAAACCGUAGCUAAUACCGGAUAAUAUUUUGAACCGCAUGGUUCAAAAGUGAAAGACGGUCUUGCUGUCACUUAUAGAUGGAUCCGCGCUGCAUUAUCUAGUUGGUAGGUAACGGCUUACCAAGGCAACGAUGCAUAGCCGACCUGAGAGGGUGAUCGGCCACACUGGAACUGAGACACGGUCCAGACUCCUACGGGAGGCAGCAGUAGGGAAUCUUCCGCAAUGGGCGAAAGCCUGACGGAGCAACGCCGCGUGAGUGAUGAAGGUCUUCGGAUCGUAAAACUCUGUUAUUAGGGAAGAACAUAUGUGUAAGUAACUGUGCACAUCUUGACGGUACCUAAUCAGAAAGCCACGGCUAACUACGUG